AGACUGGUUAAUGAUAACAAUGCAUCGUAAAACCUUCAGAAGGAAAGAAUGUUGUG
ensembl:miRNA